GUGCUCACUUCAGCAGCACAUAUAAUAAAUUUGGAAUGAUACAGAGAAGGUUAAGCCUGGCCACUGCGCAAGGAUGACACACAAAUUCGUGAAGCAUUCCAUAUUUUU
ensembl:snRNA U6 U6 spliceosomal RNA